rnacentral:lncRNA from 1 species
UGAACAACUGGCACACAGCUCAGACACCCAUACAUACCCCACAAGACAUGCCACCAGAGGUCUGUUUAAACUACUGGCACACAGCUCAGACACCCAUCCAUACCCCACAAGACAUGCCACCAGAGGUCUGUUUAAACUACUGGCACACAGCUCAGACACCCAUACAUACCCCACAAGACAUGCCACCAGAGGUCUGUUUAAACUACUGGCACACAGCUCAGACACCCAUACAUACCCCACAAGACAUGCCACCAGAGGUCUGUUUAAACUACUGGCACACAGCUCAGACACCCAUACAUACCCCACAAGACAUGCCACCAGA